CUUUACUGUAACUUGGCAUUGAAUUUUGGUGUAUGAUGUACAGGAUAGGUGGGAGCCGGAGAGGAUAGAACGCAAGUUUUGUCGGAGGCGCCGUUGGGAUACCACCCUUUAUAUACCGAAAUUCUAACUGGAAGAGUAACGACCUUCAGGACAUUGCCAGGCGGGCAGUUUGACUGGGGCGGUCGCCUCCCAAAAUGUAACGGAGGCGCCCAAAGGUUCCCUCAGCGCGGUCGGAAAUCGCGCGAAGAGUGUAAAGGCAGAAGGGAGCUUGACUGCGAGUCAAACACGACGAGCAGGGACGAAAGUCGGGCUUAGUGAUCCGGUGGUACCGAGUGGAAGGGCCAUCGCUCAACGGAUAAAAGCUA
rnacentral:rRNA from 1 species